rnacentral:rRNA from 1 species
UACGGAAGGCAGCAGUGGGGAAUAUUGCACAAUGGGCGCAAGCCUGAUGCAGCCAUGCCGCGUGUAUGAAGAAGGCCUUCGGGUUGUAAAGUACUUUCAGUCGUGAGGAAGGUGUUAAGGUUAAUAACCUUAGCAAUUGACGUUAGCGACAGAAGAAGCACCGGCUAACUCCGUGCCAGCAGCCGCGGUAAUACGGAGGGUGCGAGCGUUAAUCGGAAUUACUGGGCGUAAAGGGCACGCAGGCGGUUAAUUAAGUUGGAUGUGAAAUCCCCGGGCUUAACCUGGGAAUGGCAUUCAAGACUGGUUAGCUAGAGUCUUGUAGAGGGGGUAGAAUUCCGAUGUGUAGCGGUGAAAUGCGUAGAGAUGUGGAGGAAUACCGGUGGCGAAGGCGGCCCCUGGACAAAGCUGACGCUCA